GUGGGGAAUCUUGCGCAAUGGGCGAAAGCCUGACGCAGCGACGCCGCGUGAGUGAUGAAGGCCUUCGGGUUGUAAAGCUCUGUGGGUGGAGACGAAUAAGUUCAAGCUAAUACCUUGCAUGAUGACGGUAUCCACUUAGCAAGCACCGGCUAACUCUGUGCCAGCAGCCGCGGUAAGACAGAGGGUGCAAACGUUGUUCGGAAUUACUGGGCGUAAAGCGUGUGUAGGCGGCCAUGCAAGUCGGAUGUGAAAGCCCUGGGCUCAACCCAGGAAGUGCACUCGAAACUGCGUGGCUUGAGUACUGGAGAGGUUGGUGGAAUUCUCGGUGUAGAGGUGAAAUUCGUAGAUAUCGAGAGGAACACCGGUGGCGAAGGCGGCCAACUGGACAGAUACUGACGCUGAGACACGAAAGCGUGGGGAGCAAACAGGAUUAGAAACCCCGGUAGUCC
rnacentral:rRNA from 1 species